UACGUAGGGCGCAAGCGUUAUCCGGAAUUAUUGGGCGUAAAGAGCUCGUAGGCGGUUUGUCGCGUCUGCCGUGAAAGUCCGGGGCUCAACUCCGGGCCUGCAGUCGAUACGGGCAGACUAGAGUUCGGUAGGGGAGACUGGAAUUCCUGGUGUAGCGGUGAAAUGCGCAGAUAUCAGGAGGAACACCGGUGGCGAAGGCAGCACUCUGGGACGGUACUGACGCUGAGACGCGAAAGCGUGGGGAGCGAACAGG
rnacentral:rRNA from 1 species